AUUCCAGCUCCAAUAGCGUAUAUUAAAGUUGUUGCAGUUAAAAAGCUCGUAGUUGGAUUUCUGGCAUGAUGCGCCUGGCCCGCUCCGAUUACGGAUGUGUGUGCUAGUGCGCGUCUGCCAUCCAUUUACAGAAUGUAUCUACCCUUCAUUGGGCCGGAUAUGUGAUGUAAAUCUUUUACUUUGAAAAAAUUAGAGUGUUUAAAGCAGGCAUUUGCUAUGAAUACAUUAGCAUGGAAUAAUAAUCUAGGACUUCGGUUCUAUUUUGUUGGUUUCUAGAUCUGGAGUAAUGAUUGAUAGGGAUAGUUGGGGGUGCUAGUAUUAAGGGGCCAGAGGUGAAAUUCUUGGAUUCUCUUAAGACUAACUUAUGCGAAAGCAUUCACCAAGGAUGUCUUCAUUA
rnacentral:rRNA from 1 species